rnacentral:lncRNA from 1 species
CGUUUUCGCAAUGAGAGAGAAUAAAAUGGUGAUCGAAAACUGAACGAGUAAGUUCCAGUGCUAGCUACGAAAUCGUACUGUAGCUAGAUCUAUAUAAACAGCGCUGCGAUGAAGAUGUGAAUCGUAAUUAGCUACAAUGCCUGUCAAAUAUAUCUGUUCCCGUUUGGAUUCCGGUUUAGAAAAGGUCCCCAACAAACCAUGUUUGUACUAACAUGAUUGUGUGUCAUUGUACUCUGACAGAGGUUGUGAGACGUGGCUCACUAUAACAAUCACUGGUUUGUCAGACCGGUGUAUAUUUAAAACCAAAUUACAUUAGGUGUUUUUUUUAUGAUGGUACUCAUAAUUUUGUUACUUAUAUCUGUAGCCUGAGUUUAUUUCCGAUCGGACCUUUUACAUGAAGACUUUAGAUUUACAGUUUUCCUAAAUUUUAGGCAAUUAUACAAUGUAUGUUAUCUUUUUGUUUAGACUACAGAUCUAAAUGUAUGCUUAUUGAUUUGAAUAUAGUUUUAGUUUUGACUUUUUUCAUAUGUUUUCGUUGCAGCAAGGGGGAAAAUGUUACACGACCAUUCCAGGAGAUAAAAUCAAGAAUGUUGAAUCAUUGAGGAACACACCAAAUAAACCCUGGGCUGUGAAUUAUGUUAACGGAAGUGGAAGUGAACACCAAAGAAAGAAGAUUCUGGCAUUCAAUAAUUUCGAAAAGUGUAUACAUUUUCUAUAAUCUAAAAAUAAUAAAAUGUCAACGCAAA